CCCUAGAAGUCUGCCAAGGUGGGGUUGGA
rnacentral:piRNA from 1 species